rnacentral:snRNA from 1 species
GUGCUCUCUUCCGCACUGAAAUCCGAACAAUACAGAAAGAUUAGCACGGCCCCUGCUCAAGGAUAACAUGCAAAUCCAUGAAGCAAAAAAUUCCCUAUUUUU